CCGAAAGGCAGGAGUGCCCGCAAGGGAGCGCGGAGACAGGUGGUGCAUGGCUGUCGUCAGCUCGUGUCGUGAGAUGUUGGGUUAAGUCCCGCAACGAGCGCAACCCUCACCCCUUGUUGCUACCAGGUAAAGCUGGGCACUCUAGGGGAACUGCCCCGGUCAACGGGGAGGAAGGCGGGGAUGACGUCAAGUCAUCAUGCCCCUUACGUCCUGGGCUACACACGUGCUACAAUGGCCGGUACAAAGGGAUGCCACACCGUGAGGUAGAGCUAAACCCAAAAAGCCGGUCUAAGUUCAGAUUGGAGUCUGCAACUCGACUCCAUGAAGGAGGAAUCGCUAGUAAUCGCGUAUCAGCACGACGCGGUGAAUACGUUCCCGGGCCUUGUACACACCGCCCGUCACACCACGAAAGCCAG
rnacentral:rRNA from 1 species